rnacentral:lncRNA from 1 species
UACAGGAAGUCUCCAGCUGGGGUCUCGCGGAAGUAGUGCCCUCCCUCCAUGCUGACUCAACAGCUUCUGGCUUCCCUGCCUGGCUCUCCAGUGGAGCCACUGGACGACGCAGAAUUUAGAUAAUCGGAAUUGAAAAUAUAUCCACUUAAUUCUUCCUCCUUGGGAAGCAAAACCUGUCAUAUACAUUCCCAAACUGUGAGCUAAUGUCGAUCCCUGAGUGACUGUGAGCCUGGAGUGGAGAUUGUCGUUGACCCCGCUGACUGAAAACUUCACAUUUGGGGUGGGAGAAAUGGCUCAGAGGUUAAGAGUGCAUACCGUUCCUGCAGAGGACCUGAGUUCAAUUCUCAGCAUCACCUGGGUCAGCUCAGAACCAUUUAUACGAGGCCAAGGGAUCCAGUACCUGGCAUCUGAGGACACCUGCACUCAUACAAAUAAUUAAAAAUAUAAUGCAUCU